ACGCUCGACACCUACGGUAGGCAGCAGUGGGGAAUAUUGCACAAUGGGGGAAACCCUGAUGCAGCGACGCCGCGUGAGCGAAGAAGUAUUUCGGUAUGUAAAGCUCUAUCAGCAGGGAAGAAAAUGACGGUACCUGACUAAGAAGCCCCGGCUAACUACGUGCCAGCAGCCGCGGUAAUCUGAGCGGGCUGGCAAGGC
rnacentral:rRNA from 1 species